rnacentral:lncRNA from 1 species
GACGCUGGUUUCUCUUCCUCCCUCCCCUUCUCCUCCCCCACCCUACCUCCUAUAUAUAUUUGAGUAAUGAUUGCAGGGUGAUGUUGAGGGAGACAAGACGGGCGCUUAUAUGGAGCAGAGCUGUCUUCCCGUAGGGAAUCUAUAUGGAUAUGAGCACGCUCCAGCUACUGGGUUAAGUCUAUCCUUGAUUUAUCUUACUUAAGCAUCUGAACUAGCUACCUCCCUAGAAAGAUUGGACUUUGGUUAAUAUUAGCGUACAAGAUUGGAACACGGAUGAUCAGAACAUGUAGUUCUUUAGGAUAUUGCUGGUCCUGGUAUUGGUUAAAGCUUGAUAUAUACUCUUAGGAGAAAACAAGAUGUGCCAAUUAGUUGCAGGUUGUAAUUGUUUGUCUGGGCGGAGAAAUACCCUGGGUUCGAAUAUUUCUAGAGAAUUGAGCUGAAAAUUUUUAUAGAAUUCAUAAAUUAGGCUAUUCAUUUAAGUAUGGUCUUGUAUCAACCAAAUACCACCCAGCCCAAAUUCUGUGGGAAGAAAAGAAGAGCUCCAUUGUUUUGUUUUUUUUUUGGUACAGCCCAAAAGUUAGAAUUUGGUCUGAAUUUGGACUGGUUCUUACAAAAAUAAAAGCUAGAUGGGCCAAUAGGCCCGAUUACUAUAGAUUUUCAGUCCACUCCUGUAGAAGUAUUCAUUAAGGAUGUUAAAGAAGGUGCAGUCUACCCAAAAUACAGUAGCAUGUCAUGAAGUAUGAGGUGAGCCUAGGAUUAAGAUAAAACUUAUGUAUCUAUUGUACUUAAGAUCAAAGCAAGCUGAAAACUUCAACCUGUUCCCUUGCUUAGCUGAAUCAAAAAUCAUAUCUGGAAACCUUUUUCACAAGUUGAUAGAGAAUUGCUCCCUAGAAACUUUUGGAUAGCCUUUUCUUGAUGCUUUUGACCUUACUUUUUAGCAUCAACAGGUACUAAUAUACCCCUUAAUAUGUAUAGGAAAAGUAAAGGAUUUUCUUACAUUUGGAAUGUGGAAGAAUUUUUAAAUCAUUCAUCUGUUUGAUGUCAAGGAAAUUAGCUUCCUUAGAUCAUUAUGUACUAUCUUCAAUCUCCUUGUCAUUUCAACGAUUCUACACUCUAGCUUGAAAAUGACUUUCUUUUGAGCUGCAACACCGUGUUAACAUUACACUAGAGAUCAAAGUUCAUGUUUCAUAACCCUUAGUUUGAGAUUUGAAAUUUUACUUAUCACCCAAAAAUUUACUACUAAUGAACACAAUCAAAUAAAAAAAUGACUUUUUUGGUGAGAAAGAAAGAAAAUGUUUUCAGACUUAAAAGUGUACUUAGAUUCUUGUGAAAGAGGUUUUUGCCAUCUCCCUGUUGCUUCCUUGUGACAAAAAAUGUUGUACCUUAACAGCAUUGCAGGAUUGCACUUUUAUAAGUUCACCAUUACCCACUCAUCCAUCCAUCCAUCAAUCCAUUCAUAUGUACAUGCAUACCUUCAUACACAAAUAGAAACAUAAAUACAUAGAUGCAGAC